UACAGAGGAUGCAAGCGUUAUCCGGAAUGAUUGGGCGUAAAGGGUCUGUAGGUGGUUUUGACAGUCUGCUGUUAAAUCUCAGGGCUUAACCCUGUUAAGGCAGCAUGAAACUACGAAUCUUGAGUACGGUAGGGGCAGAGGGAAUUCCCGGUGGAGUGGUGAAAUACGUAGAUCUCGGGAAGAACACCAAAGGCCGAAAGCACUCUGCUGGGCCAGACUGACACUGGAGGGACGAGAGC
rnacentral:rRNA from 1 species